CCUACGGGCGGCAGCAGUGGGGAAUAUUGGACAAUGGGGGCAACCCUGAUCCAGCCAUGCCGCGUGUGUGAAGAAGGCCCUCGGGUUGUAAAGCACUUUCAGUGAGGAAGAACGCCUGGUGGUUAAUACCCAUCAGGAAAGACAUCACUCACAGAAGAAGCACCGGCUAACUCCGUGCCAGCAGCCGCGGUAAUACGGAGGGUGCGAGCGUUAAUCGGAAUUACUGGGCGUAAAGCGCGCGUAGGUGGCUUGAUAAGCCGGUUGUGAAAGCCCCGGGCUCAACCUGGGAACGGCAUCCGGAACUGUCAAGCUAGAGUGCGGGAGAGGAAGGUAGAAUUCCCGGUGUAGCGGUGAAAUGCGUAGAGAUCGGGAGGAAUACCAGUGGCGAAGGCGGCCUUCUGGACUGACACUGACACUGAGGUGCGAAAGCGUGGGUAGCAAACAGGAUUAGAUACCCCAGUAGUC
rnacentral:rRNA from 1 species